ensembl:antisense
AUAUGUUCCAGGUCACUUAAAGAGGCUACACUUCCCAAAGGGGUUCUGACUUCGCCCUAGCUUAAGGAUACAUAUCUGAUUUCAUCAUCAAUGCUGAGCCAGGACCUGUGAUCUCCCAAGAGAAUUUUGUUACUGUUGUGUGUUUAAACCCUGGUGGAUAUGACACAGUCUGCCUAAAGAAGGAAGGCCACACAUUCAUAGAAAAGGUCACUUCUAUGAGAGAGGAUAGAUUCCACCUUGGCCCAGUGCUCUCAAGUCCCUGUUCGACUGUCCCUCAGGUCGAUGCAAACUGGCACCAGAACAGGGACCCCAGGGGGUCGCAGAGAACACCACUCAUCAUUGGAGGGUAGGCCUACCCCCUCAUGUACAGAAGCACCUGAUAGCAGCUUCACUUCCGCACGAUGCCAAAGUCCAACCCAAAGCGAGACAGUCUGGGAGAGAGAACAUAGCAUGGCGCAGAUCUUAGGAUAAUAAAGGAAAAAAGACAUCGGGAUGGGUAUGUCCCCCACACCUCACCGGACAUCAGGAGGACUGGAACCAUUACAAGGUCCCAUUUAGUCAUCGGAGGUCACACCUCUAUCCCCGCCUUAGCAAAGACUAAAAUCACCAUGGUCCUUCUAUACUAAGAAAAUAAAGAAGAUGUUGGGAGCAACCUUGUUUGAAUAUUAACUGCCUUAAUUGUUUGUUGGCACAAAGUCUUGGCCUCUGUGGGAAAGUACUAGCCCAGCUGAGUACAAAUAGACAUAGAUCUUGAAGUCAGCAGAGAACAAAUAGCUAUGAAUCUUGUGGACAGGUGCCUAAUAACCCUUACUGUUCUGAUCUUACUGCUGAACUGUUUACCCAGUCAAUAUCCUGUUCCUGGGAACAGGCAUAUUAC